rnacentral:rRNA from 1 species
AUUGAACGCUGGCGGCAUGCCUUACACAUGCAAGUCGAACGGCAGCACGGGAGCUUGCUCCUGGUGGCGAGUGGCGAACGGGUGAGUAACAUAUCGGAACGUACCCAGUCGUGGGGGAUAACUAUCCGAAAGGAUAGCUAAUACCGCAUACGUCCUGAGGGAGAAAGCGGGGGAUCGCAAGACCUCGCGCGAUUGGAGCGGCCGAUAUCGGAUUAGCUAGUUGGUGGGUAAAGGCUCACCAAGGCGACGAUCCGUAGCGGGUCUGAGAGGACGACCCGCCACACUGGAACUGAGACACGGUCCAGACUCCUACGGGAGGCAGCAGUGGGGAAUUUUGUGCAAUGGGGGAAACCCUGACACAGCGACACCGCGUGAGUGAAGAAGCCUUUUGGGGUGUAAAACUCUGUCGGCAGGGACGAAAAAAAUGACGGUACCUGCAGAGGAAGCAUCGGCUAACUACGUGCCAGCAGCCGCGGUAAU